AAUUCCAACCCUCCCCACCUAAAGAAUUUAAUGUUUGGGAUGUGUUUUUGAAAAAUGAAAACAAAUAGUGAAAAUUUCGAAAAUUUCAACCUCUCCCCCUUCCUCUUGAAAAUUUAAUAUUUAAAGAAAAUGUCUUGCCAAGAGAAUUGCUUUCAUUGUGUUUUUUUACGAUUGGACACCAUUAAAAAGUCUAUACUUUUUCAUAAUCCGAAAAAAAAAAUGCAAAAAUGAUGGUUCUGUGCCUUGGAACUGUUCAAAUCCCCCCCCCCCCACCUAACCACGACCUUUUGAAAGUACCGAAUGGAAAUUUUGUUUUUUGGUUUCAAAAUUACGAGUUUAGAAUCAUUAAAAAUAAUUAAAACUUGCUUUGAUUAUUCAGUUUUUCAAAAUGGGGUUUCAAAAAAUAUCAUUGCAAUAUCUUUUACUGAUUAUAAUCCCAUUUUCAUUACCAUUUAUUCAAUUUCUUUCCCAUUUUGAAAUUAUGUUUUAAAAAUUUCGAAAUCAAUACCUAAGCUUGAAAAAAAUUAUCGAUUGAUGAGGAAAAGCUUCUCUUACAUUUUGAAAUUUCUCCUAGGAUGAAGGGGUAUGAGAGAAGAUUGAAACGUCGAAGGUAUUCAGUUCCUAUGAUAACCGAUAAGAUUCGUUAUACAGAUUAAUUUGUUUAGAUUUUUUUUAUCGUGAUGAUAAUUUACUUAGGAUUCAAAUUAAUUUUCGAAAUAUUUUCCUCUGAAGAAUGAGUGAAGGUGGUGACGAAAGGGAAUCGCGUAAGGAUGUUUGGAAAUAAUAUAAUUAUAAUUUCUUCUCACUAACACAAAGAGAACGUGAAAUAAAUUAAAUCUCGUUUAUCUAAAAUUGGUUAUCCGACAACCCUUGAAGAAAUCUUUAAUUUAAAUUAAAUCAUUCGAAUUGAUUAGAUUUCAAAACGUUUACAUUUUAUAAAUCAACCUACUUAUUUCGACUUUGGUGAUUCGAAUCAAUCGACGAUUUUCAGCAUAAUUUAUUCGUAUAUUCGUAGAAGUCAGCUUCGGUAAAUUUUUCCUCGAAUUUCGGGUUAUUUUCGUAAACUGACAAGUUUUUUUUUACCAUGAAUUUCCAAGCAAUUUUCCAUUCUAUGGCUUUCAAGAUGACCGUGCUAGCGGUAACUUACGCCUACUAUUGCUAUACAGUGAUUGUCGGAUAACCCAAUGCCAACUGGGGUCCCAAGAAGUUAUUUUUUAAGAUUAAUGAAAUUACCGGUACCCAUGGAUUGCUUUCCUCGAGCCCUUCAUCCACGAAAUAUCCGUUUACAAUUUUGCGAUUUUUAUUGACAGUGCAGAAUUUCAUGGAUCUCCCUUCGAGCCACCCCACUAUUCGUUUACCAUUUUGGAAGAUUUUUAUUCGUAAUGCCAAUUUUGAGUUAGUAAUUUUAAAAAUGUAAUAAAAGUUGUACUGCUUA